rnacentral:rRNA from 1 species
GACGAACGCUGGCGGCGUGCUUAACACAUGCAAGUCGAACGGAAAGGCCCUGCUUUUGUGGGGUGCUCGAGUGGCGAACGGGUGAGUAACACGUGAGUAACCUGCCCUUGACUUUGGGAUAACUUCAGGAAACUGGGGCUAAUACCGGAUAGGAGCUCCUGCUGCAUGGUGGGGGUUGGAAAGUUUCGGCGGUUGGGGAUGGACUCGCGGCUUAUCAGCUUGUUGGUGGGGUAGUGGCUUACCAAGGCUUUGACGGGUAGCCGGCCUGAGAGGGUGACCGGCCCCAUUGGGAAUGAGAUACGGCCCAGACUCCUACGGGAGGCAGCAGUGGGGAAUAUUGCACAAUGGGCGGAAGCCUGAUGCAGCAACGCCGCGUGCGGGAUGACGGCCUUCGGGUUGUAAACCGCUUUCGCCUGUGACGAAGCGUGAGUGACGGUAAUGGGUAAAGAAGCACCGGCUAACUACGUG